CUGGUGACUCCUACUUUUUGCAGAGUCUGAAUGCUCAGCAUCUCAAAACAACUUUAUUCCUUCUGUUUCUCUACCACAAGUGACAGCUUAUCGUUCUCUCUGAUGAUGGCAAUACGGAAUUCUGGACUUUCAGGCUCUUGUCUGCCUUGGUUAUAUCCACCAGAUAACAGGAAGGCAUACGUCCUUCAGUGAUACAGAUGGAGUCUCUUCACAGGUUUUUUCCUAAACUGAACCAGAAGCAACAUAAAGAAGCACAGGAUUGCUUUUCAAUUUCUACACUUCUGUUCUUUGAUAUCACAUUUCCUUCCAGUCAGAGCUGUGCAGUUUAGGUACUACUUCAGCAAGAAAAUAUGAGAAAUAAAAUCAGAGUGAAAUAAA